UACGUAGGUGGCGAGCGUUGUCCGGAUUUACUGGGCGUAAAGAGCGCGCAGGCGGCUGGUCAAGUCCGAUGUGAAAGCUCCCGGCUUAACUGGGAAAUUGCAUCGGAAACUGAUCGGCUGGAAGGUGGGAGAGGGUAGCGGAAUUCCCGGUGUAGUGGUGAAAUGCGUAGAUAUCGGGAGGAACACCAGUGGCGAAGGCGGCAUCCUGGACCAACACUGACGCUGAGGAGCGAAAGCCAGGGGAGCAAAGCGGGG
rnacentral:rRNA from 1 species